rnacentral:rRNA from 1 species
UACGAAGGGUGCAAGCGUUAAUCGGAAUUACUGGGCGUAAAGCGUGCGCAGGCGGCUUUGCAAGACAGAUGUGAAAUCCCCGGGCUCAACCUGGGAACUGCAUUUGUGACUGCGAGGCUAGAGUACGGCAGAGGGGGAUGGAAUUCCGCGUGUAGCAGUGAAAUGCGUAGAUAUGCGGAGGAACACCAAUGGCGAAGGCAAUCCCCUGGGCCUGUACUGACGCUCAUGCACGAAAGCGUGGGGAGCAAACAGG